rnacentral:rRNA from 1 species
GGGGAAUAUUGCACAAUGGGCGAAAGCCUGAUGCAGCAACGCCGCGUGAGUGAUGAAGGUCUUCGGAUUGUAAAGCUCUGUCUUUUGGGACGAUAAUGACGGUACCAAAGGAGGAAGCCACGGCUAACUACGUGCCAGCAGCCGCGGUAAUACGUAGGUGGCGAGCGUUGUCCGGAUUUACUGGGCGUAAAGGGUGCGUAGGCGGAUGUUUAAGUGAGAUGUGAAGUACCCGGGCUUAACUUGGGUGCUGCAUUUCAAACUGGAUAUCUAGAGUGCAGGAGAGGAGAAUGGAAUUCCUAGUGUAGCGGUGAAAUGCGUAGAGAUUAGGAAGAACACCAGUGGCGAAGGCGAUUCUCUGGACUGUAACUGACGCUGAGGCACGAAAGCGUGGGUAGCAAACAGGAUUAGAUACCCUGGUAGUCCACGCCGUAAACGAUGAGUACUAGGUGUAGGAGGUAUCGACCCCUUCUGUGCCGCAGUAAACACAUUAAGUACUCCGCCUGGGAAGUACGAUCGCAAGAUUAAAACUCUAAAGUGAAUUGACGGGGUC